CCUACGGGGGGCUGCAGUGGGGAAUAUUGGGCAAUGGGCGCAAGCCUGACCCAGCAACGCCGCGUGACGGAAGAAGGCUUUCGGGUUGUAAACUUCUUUUAAGAGGGAAGAGCAGAAGACGGUACCUCUUGAAUAAGCCACGGCUAACUACGUGCCAGCAGCCGCGGUAAUACGUAGGUGGCAAGCGUUGUCCGGAUUUACUGGGUGUAAAGGGCGUGUAGCCGGGCUGACAAGUCAGAUGUGAAAUCCCGUGGCUCAACCACGGAACUGCAUUGGAAACUGUCGGUCUUGAGUAUCGGAGAGGCAGGCGGAAUUCCUAGUGGAGUGGUGAAAUGCGUAGAUAUUAGGAGGAACACCAGUGGCGAAGGCGGCCUGCUGGACGACAACUGACGGCGAGGCGCGAAAGCGUGGGGAGCAAACAGGAUUAGAUACCCGAGUAGUC
rnacentral:rRNA from 1 species